UACGUAGGGCGCAAGCGUUAUCCGGAAUUAUUGGGCGUAAAGAGCUCGUAGGCGGUCUGUCGCGUCGGCUGUGAAAACCCGGAGCUCACUCCGGGCCUGCAGUCGAUACGGGCAAACUGGAGUGUUGCAGGGGGAGACUGGAAUUCCUGGUGUAGCGGUGAAAUGCGCAGAUAUCAGGAGGAACACCAAUGGCGAAGGCAGGCUCGCUGGGACGUACUGACGCUGAGACGACGAAGCGUGGGGAGCAAACAGG
rnacentral:rRNA from 1 species